UACGUAGGGUGCGAGCGUUGUCCGGAAUUAUUGGGCGUAAAGGGCUCGUAGGCGGUGUGUCACGUCGGCCGUGAAAACCUGCAGCUUAACUGUGGGCGUGCGGUCGAUACGGGCAUCACUGGAGUUCGGCAGGGGAGACUGGAAUUUACGGUGUAGCGGUGAAAUGCGUAGAUAUCGUAAGGAAGACCAGUGGCGAAGGCGGGUCUCUGGACAGUUCCUGACGCUGAGGCACGAAGGUCAGGGGAGCAAACGGG
rnacentral:rRNA from 1 species